CAGUCGCCGCGGUAAUACGAAGGGGGCUAGCGUUACUCGGAAUUACUGGGCGUAAAGGGCGCGUAGGCGGCACGAUUAGUCAGGCGUGAAAUUCCUGGGCUCAACCUGGGGACUGCGCUUGAUACGGUCGAGCUAGAGGAUGGAAGAGGGUUGUGGAAUUCCCAGUGUAGAGGUGAAAUUCGUAGAUAUUGGGAAGAACACCGGUGGCGAAGGCGGCAACCUGGUCCAUUACUGACGCUGAGGCGCGAUAGCGUGGGGAGCAAACAGGAUUAGAUACCCCCGUAGUCCCUGUCUCUUAUAC
rnacentral:rRNA from 1 species